rnacentral:rRNA from 1 species
UACGGAAGAGGCUAGCGUUGUUCGGAAUUACUGGGCGUAAAGAGCGCGUAGGCGGCUUACCAAGUUGGGGGUGAAAUCACGGAGCUCAACUCCGGAACUGCCUUCAAAACUGGUAGGCUCGAGUCCGGAAGAGGGGCGUGGAAUUCCCAGUGUAGAGGUGAAAUUCGUAGAUAUUGGGAAGAACACAGGUUGCGAAGGCGGCGCCAUGGCCCGGUACUGACGCUGAGGCGCGAAAGCGUGGGGAGCAAACAGG